rnacentral:rRNA from 1 species
GUGGGGAAUAUUGGACAAUGGGCGAAAGCCUGAUCCAGCCAUGCCGCGUGUGUGAAGAAGGUCUUCGGAUUGUAAAGCACUUUAAGUUGGGAGGAAGGGCAGUAAGUUAAUACCUUGCUGUUUUGACGUUACCAACAGAAUAAGCACCGGCUAACUUCGUGUCAGCAGCCGCGGUAAUACGAAGGGUGCAAGCGUUAAUCGGAAUUACUGGGCGUAAAGCGCGCGUAGGUGGUUCAGCAAGUUGAAGGUGAAAUCCCCGGGCUCAACCUGGGAACUGCCUCCAAAACUACUGGGCUAGAGUACGGUAGAGGGUAGUGGAAGUUCCUGUGUAGCGGUGAAAUGCGUAGAGAUCGGGAGGAACAUCCGUGGCGAAGGCGGCCAUCUGGACCAGCACUGACACUGAGGCACGAAAGCGUGGGGAGCAAACAGGAUUAGAUACCCCAGUAGUCC